rnacentral:rRNA from 1 species
AACGAACGCUGGCGGCAGGCCUAACACAUGCAAGUCGAGCGGACCCUUCGGGGUUAGCGGCGGACGGGUGAGUAACGCGUGGGAAUAUGCCCUUCUCUACGGAAUAGUUCUGGGAAACUGGGGGUAAUACCGUAUACGCCCUUUGGGGGAAAGAUUUAUUGGGGCAGGAUUAGCCCGCGUUGGAUUAGGUAGUUGGUGGGGUAAUGGCCUACCAAGCCGACGAUCCAUAGCUGGUUUGAGAGGAUGAUCAGCCACACUGGGACUGAGACACGGCCCAGACUCCAACGAGAGGCAGCAGUGGGGAAUCUUAGACAAUGAGGGCAACCCUGAUCUAGCCAGGCCGCGUGAGUGAUGAAGGCCUUAGGAUUGUAAAGCUCUUUCAGCUGGGAAGGUAAGGACGGUACCAGCAGAAGAAGCCCCGGCAAACUCCGU